UGGGGAAUAUUGCACAAUGGGCGCAAGCCUGAUGCAGCCAUGCCGCGUGUGUGAAGAAGGCCUUCGGGUUGUAAAGCACUUUCAGCGGGGAGGAAGGCGGUGAGGUUAAUAACCCCAUCGAUUGACGUUACCCGCAGAAGAAGCACCGGCUAACUCCGUGCCAGCAGCCGCGGUAAUACGGAGGGUGCAAGCGUUAAUCGGAAUUACUGGGCGUAAAGCGCACGCAGGCGGUCUGUCAAGUCGGAUGUGAAAUCCCCGGGCUCAACCUGGGAACUGCAUUCGAAACUGGCAGGCUAGAGUCUUGUAGAGGGGGGUAGAAUUCCAGGUGUAGCGGUGAAAUGCGUAGAGAUCUGGAGGAAUACCGGUGGCGAAGGCGGCCCCCUGGACAAAGACUGACGCUCAGGUGCGAAAGCGUGGGGAGCAAACAGG
rnacentral:rRNA from 1 species